rnacentral:lncRNA from 1 species
GGGAUGAAACAAGAGGGCGGCUGAAGCCGAUCCUGAGUGGGGCCCCAGCAAUUCGGAAUGAGCCUUCUCUCUCCACCCGCUUCUGCCGACCGGGCCCCUCCUGCGCGGCCUCGCAGGCCUACCCGCGCGCGCCGUCCCUUCUCCUCCGCUUUCCCUUCUCCCCCGGUCUCGGCUCCGACAUUAGGGGCCGGCGGGGCAGACAGCCCAAGCAGCCUGCGGCUUCCGCUGCGGAGCGCUGCGCCCCGGCCCCGGCCCGGCCCCACCGCCGCCGCUGCCCAAGUCCCGACCCAUCGGGGGGCUCAGCUCGCGGCACCGCGGUAGCAGCAGGGGCAGGUGGGCCGCUGCCUAGGUUGAGGCAGCCUUCAAGGCGUGGCUGAGCUCGCCCAGGGGGAGCAGGAGUAGCCGGAGAAAGCCGCCGCUGGUCCCCCAAGCACCAGCGCCCGGGUGGAUGGGGCGAGGAGGCGGGGGCUGCGGCGGCGGCCACCUGGCCCGGACCACCGCGGCCCGGGGCCGUGAACAAAGUGGUGUACGAUGACCACGGGAGCUAGGAGGAAGAGGACGGCGACGUCGAGGAGACCCAGGAGUCUGAGGACGAGGAGGAUGAGACGGAGGAGGACGAGGAUGAUUCUGAUUAUCUGGAGGAGCUGGAAGACGACGACGACGCCAGUUACUGCACAGAAAGCAGCUUCAGGAGCCAGAGUACCUACAGCAGCACUCCAGGUACCCACCCAGCCCGGUUGCUGCAGACUCCUUCCCCACCUCCUCUGCCCUACCCCCUUGCUCACUCGUGUGCUGUGCAUCCUGCUCGGAUCUCCCCCCAACCCCGCCUCCCCCCCAAACAGAGGGGAAAUGCGACAGUACAUCAAAUGGCAAAAAACUAGAUUUACAAGAGGAAAGAGGCGCAUUGUUAAAAAUGGAGAUUGCAUUGUUGCAUUUUGCAGGCCACACUCGCUCGCUCUCUCUCUCCCCCCCCAACCCCCUCUUUUUCCUCUUCAGAGUUUGUGCCAGUGCAGUGUCUCCACCGGGCAGGAUUGAAACUUUGGCAAACACAUAUCCAUUGCAUUCAUUUUUCUCCCCUUGUUUUGGUCUGGUUUUCUGGAAUGAAAGAAGUCUCUUGUUUUACAAACCUCUUUGCAUUUCUAAUGUGGUUUCUUUCAGAUUUUUAUUAGAUAUGUUACUUAAAAGGGAAUUAAGGGUUUGGACAGAUAGUGGCACACAAACACACACAAAAACAUGUCUGUUUUCACAUCCCUAGCUGUAGCUUUAAAAUUGUGUUAAGGAAACGGAUCAUUUGGGUUAGUAGGGGAAUUUUAUCUGGUCCUGUAUGUUUGUUUUUAUUCUUCAAGUGCUAAUGGGCCUGUGCAACAGUUGCUGGUAAAUGGCUGAUUAAAAAGCAAAGCAGAAAGCCAAACAAGACCCAACCAAAUUUGGUUAUUCAUCCGAUUCAAAAUUGUUUUUGGUUAAGUAAAAAAUAAAAGUACAAAACCGCAGGAACGCGCGUCUUAGCUCAUUUGAUCGCUUUGCCUUGCUUGGGAAAUGCAGUUUUGUGUCACCUGUUGCAGAAGAUAUGUAGUUGAUCAUCUAGACAUAAUUGCCGAAGAUGAACUUUUGGAACAACUUCUAAGUCACACAGCAUCAUUAUCAGAUUUAUUACACAACGACUUUUUUUUUCCACUCUAUUUCUAAGGAAAAAGCCUUCCCAAAAUCCGUAAUGAAUUUCUCCAUGGUAACCCCUCUUCUGUUUUCACACAGAAAAGUUUCUCUAGGCUGUUGCUAAGAUGCAUUUUGUUAAAUACCCCCCACCCCCCCACAAAGGCUGCUUUGUAUUAAAUACGUAGUUGGAAUUUACUAAAUUGUGAAAUUAACAUAACUGAAGCAACAACCGGCAAGACUUUUCCUUUAUAAUUUUGCAAAUCUAGAUUAAUUAAAUUAGAAUCUGGUUUUAGAAGCAUUAAAAAAUAAAGUUUAUGAGAAAAUA